CCUGAUGCAGCGACGCCGCGUGAGGGAUGACGGCCUUCGGGUUGUAAACCUCUUUCAGUAGGGGAGAAGCGAAAGUGACGGUACCUGCAGAAGAAGCGCCGGCUAACUACGUGCCAGCAGCCGCGGUAAUACGUAGGGCGCAAGCGUUAUCCGGAAUUAUUGGGCGUAAAGAGCUCGUAGGCGGUUUGUCGCGUCUGCCGUGAAAGUCCGGGGCUCAACUCCGGAUCUGCGGUGGGUACGGGCAGACUAGAGUGAUGUAGGGGAGACUGGAAUUCCUGGUGUAGCGGUGAAAUGCGCAGAUAUCAGGAGGAACACCGAUGGCGAAGGCAGGUCUCUGGGCAUUAACUGACGCUGAGGAGCGAAAGCAUGGGGAGCGAACAGGAUUAGAUACCCUGGUAGUCCAUGCCGUAAACGUUGGGCACUAGGUGUGGGGGACAUUCCACGUUUUCCGCGCCGUAGCUAACGCAUUAAGUGCCCCGCCUGGGGAGUACGGCCGCAAGGCUA
rnacentral:rRNA from 1 species